rnacentral:rRNA from 1 species
UACGUAGGGUGCAAGCGUUGUCCGGAAUUAUUGGGCGUAAAGAGCUCGUAGGCGGUUUGUCGCGUCUGCUGUGAAAACCCGAGGCUCAACCUCGGGCCUGCAGUGGGUACGGGCAGACUAGAGUGCGGUAGGGGAGAUUGGAAUUCCUGGUGUAGCGGUGGAAUGCGCAGAUAUCAGGAGGAACACCGGUGGCGAAGGCGGGUCUCUGGGCCGAUAUUGACGCUGAGGAGCGAAAGCGUGGGGAGCGAACAGG